rfam:Daucus carota subsp. sativus cultivar DH1 chromosome 3, whole genome shotgun sequence.
UGUUGAGCAAUGAAGAUAGAAUAUCUAAUCCCAGCUCUAUUAGGUCUUUCUUAGUGGAGGAUCAAGGACUAUACUUGUAUUACUUUUAUCUGAGCUCACA